rnacentral:lncRNA from 1 species
CUCUCCUCUCUUCCACAUCCUAGGGGCUCUCUCCAAACCCUAGGUGCCGCCCAAGUGAAGGAAACUCCUUUAUGCUGCCAAUCACCAUGUCCUACUUGGACUAGGAGAAGACAGCCUUGCAGCCACAAACCUGAUCUCCUGGUUAUUCUUGGACAUUGGGGACGUCCAAAAUCUGGUUGCUGGUGUUGUUUCAGAUCUCCAAGGAGUCCUAGAGGUCUGGGAGGCGUUCCACAUCAAUCCUAUAAGGAUUGGGAACAAAAACAAGGAGAUCUAUAAAAGCUGCUGCCUAAAAAUCCGUCCAGAACUUUCAGCAACAAGUCCUUGGUGUUUCCGCA